GUUUUUUAAAAAAGUAUCUUGUAUCUUCGAGUAUCUUGUAUCUUAUAUCUUAUUGAAAUUUUUCUAAAGUAUCUAGUAUCUUGUAUCUUAAAUACAAAAUUUUAUAAAGUAUCUGUAUCCGAAUACAAUUUUCUGAAAAUUUGCCCAAUCCUGGUUGUGAUAGGUAUGAAAAUAUAAUCACUAUCAACCUUGUUAAAUCUAUUCUAUCAAAUCGAACCCAAUUCUCUCAAUUCGAACUUUCCCCAAUCAAAACUACCACAACUCAAGCUUAUCCCCACAAUAUCUAAUAUAAAUAUGGGAAUAUUUUUGGAUUGGAAAAAUCGUCUGCGGAAAAAUGGAUGAUGUUAAAUUGAUAUAAACAAUAUUCCCUUAACUUUCUGAAUAUGAAUGAAAUAAAUGAUGUGAAUAAAAAAAUAAUUCAAAUUUCAAUGUCAUCACAAUGUAAUUUUGCUCUACAAGAUACUCAACUUAUAUAUUUAUUUUGAACAUACUCACAAUUUUUGUCAGUUUACAUCACAAUUUUUUAUACUCAUAUUUUUCUUUCAUAACCAAUAAUUAAGAAGAUAACCAAGUAUAUUUAAAUAUUUAAAUAUUCUUUUCCUAACCUACUUAUAAUCUCCAAUCCUUAUAAAUAACUCUUUCUUUAU